rnacentral:rRNA from 1 species
AGUGAACGCUGGCGGUAGGCCUAACACAUGCAAGUCGAACGGCAGCACAGUAAGAGCUUGCUCUUACGGGUGGCGAGUGGCGGACGGGUGAGGAAUACAUCGGAAUCUACUUUUUCGUGGGGGAUAACGUAGGGAAACUUACGCUAAUACCGCAUACGACCUACGGGUGAAAGCAGGGGAUCUUCGGACCUUGCGCGAUUGAAUGAGCCGAUGUCGGAUAGCUAGUUGGCGGGGUAAAGGCCCACCAAGGCGACGAUCCGUAGCUGGUCUGAGAGGAUGAUCAGCCACACUGGAACUGAGACACGGUCCAGACUCCUACGGGAGGCAGCAGUGGGGGAUAUUGGACAAUGGGCGCAAGCCUGAUCCAGCCAUACCGCGUGGGUGAAGAAGGCCUUCGGGUUGUAAAGCCCUUUUGUUGGGAAAGAAAAGCAGCAGGUUAAUACCCCGCUGUUCUGACGGUACCCAAAGAAUAAGCACCGGCUAACUUCGUG